CCGUAUAAACUCAACUAAUGCAUUAUAAAUAUAAACAAGUUGCAGCGUAGAUGAUUUUAAUAAUAUAUUACCUUGCAACAUAGCGUUUAUAUCAGUCUUUCUUGUAAAAGACCUUAAAUGACGUUUCGUUAAUUUUUUUUCGAUUAAGGUUAUCAUUUAUGUAUUAAGGUGGCGACUGACAGCUAGUAGUUUCCUUAAUAAAAUUUGUGGGUUUGGAGGACUAACUAGCGAAAUAGCUUGUUCUCUCUCUCUAUGUCCACCUUUAUACUACCCAGCCCCACACCAUCCCCAGUCUGCCUUCUUAUAAAGGCAGUUCAAAUGCUAAAAAUAAAAAAGUAUCCAUCUGCCUAUACGCAUUAUCAGCUUUUAUCUACCGUAUCUCUGUCUACCAAUACACAAAAACAGCAGGUUGACUUGAAACUUACGAUAGUAGAGCUGGCACAAAACACCACGCCGCGUCUCCACCUGACAACGAAAUGGGUCACUGGUUAUCUCCCUCCGUGCAAAACCUGAAGUACCAGGGCAGUGUGAGGAGAGACACUGAUAUUAGAGGCACUGAACAAGUGAAAUAAAGGACACGAUCAAUGUAAUGAGGUAGAAAUGGAGAGAAGAACUGUCUGAUGGGCACUGAGGAAGGAAAAUCAAAGGUACGUACUAAAAGUUGAAGUAUCUGGACAGUGAGUGAUGAUAUUAGAGGCAUUCUGAACAGGUAACAAGAGAAACAGGACAGGAUCAAUGCAAUGAGGUAGAAAAGGAGAGAACUGUCUCAUGGGCACAGAGGAAGGAAAAUCAAGUGCCUACGAAAGCUUGAAGCAUCUGGACAGUGAGUGACGCUGAUAUUAGAGGCAUUUUAAACAAGUAGCAAUUAGGAAAAGACAGAAUCAAUGUAAUGAGGUAGAAAUGGUGAGAACUGUCUGAUGGGCACAGAGGAAGGAAAAUCAAAGACACGUACUAAGGGCUGAAGUACCUGAGUCCAGCUGGACAGUGAGUGAUGCCGACAUUAGAGGCAUUUUGAACAAGUAACAAGUAACAUCUCUGUGGCCUUUGAAGAUAGUCGUGGUGAGGGAGCAAAGCGUUUUAAAGGGUGCUUUUAAGGUUCUAGUGACAGAUUAACAAGAUUUCUUCACUAUCAACAGGAGAAACACUCUCGACAACCCAGCUAAUCAUCUGUGGCCUUUGAAAACCGCCGUGGUGAGAGAGCAGAGCGAGUCUUUUUAGCAAGUUACACGGAUUUUCAAGAGUGAUUUCACGGUCCCUGUGAUAGACUAACAAGAUUUCUCAAUCAUUAGCAGGAGAAACAGUGUUGGGAGCCCGGCUGAUCAUCUCUGGCCUUUGAAAAUUGCCAUAGUGAGAGGGCGGGGCGUUUCAAAGCACGGGGAAGUACUAGGCAGUGUGUGGGGAUAUUACCGCGGCGAUGAAAAGUUGUUUGUUUUCAUUACCAUUGCUGCUGCCGCUGCUACUGUCAUCACUGGAGUUAGGUCAGACUAUGCUAGGUUAGGUUACAUAAUUACUACUAUUAACAACUCUCUAACCACUAUUAUUGCUACUAUUACUAGAGUUACUACCAGUACUGUGUUUCUCACCACUAUUACUAUUAUUAUCACUACAGCUUCUACUGCUGUCAGGUUCCUCAUUACUACUACUACUACUACUACUGCUACUUGUAUUACUGCAGCUACUACUAGUAUGUUCCUCAUCACUAUACAAGUGCUGUUACUACUGUUACCUUCAUCUCCACCACCGCCACCACCAACGCUGUUACUACUACUAUUAAUUAUUACUUUUUAUUUUUUGUACCCCUUAAGUUCCGCCACCCAGAAAAAAAAGGUCAAAAGGAAUAUAAGAGUUACGAGAACUGUCUUGAAAACUACUACUACUACUACUACUACUACUACUAGGAUGGCCUAUAAUAGUUCCAUUUGUGAGAGGAGCUUAACUUCACACAUACAAUUAUACAAAAUACGUUUCCUUUAACUAAACGUACUAUAAUCAGGAAAAUCUCCCAUAACAAUGAGGGUACGCAGUUCUAAUUUAGCCACAUCGCAGGGAGUAUCAGUGUCCCUUGAAAUUAAUAAAGAAAACGGAUACAUGGCAGGGGAAACUUGUAUUAUCAGAUCAGCUGAUGGCACAUUCUAGAACGCUCAUUUCUCUCACCAGGAUUUCAAAGGCCACACAUGAUCAGCUUAGUUUUCAAGAAUUUUUCUCUCUUGUUUCAUUAGACAUUUUUUUUCUUUGUCACUGGAACAAAAAAAUCAUCCUUAAAACCCGUAUAAACUCAACUAAUGCAUUAUAAAUAUAAACAAGUUGCAGCGUAGAUGAUUUUAAUAAUAUAUUACCUUGCAACAUAGCGUUUAUAUCAGUCUUUCUUGUAAAAGACCUUAAAUGACGUUUCGUUAAUUUUUUUUCGAUUAAGGUUAUCAUUUAUGUAUUAAGGUGGCGACUGACAGCUAGUAGUUUCCUUAAUAAAAUUUGUGGGUUUGGAGGACUAACUAGCGAAAUAGCUUGUUCUCUCUCUCUAUGUCCACCUUUAUACUACCCAGCCCCACACCAUCCCCAGUCUGCCUUCUUAUAAAGGCAGUUCAAAUGCUAAAAAUAAAAAAGUAUCCAUCUGCCUAUACGCAUUAUCAGCUUUUAUCUACCGUAUCUCUGUCUACCAAUACACAAAAACAGCAGGUUGACUUGAAACUUACGAUAGUAGAGCUGGCACAAAACACCACGCCGCGUCUCCACCUGACAACGAAAUGGGUCACUGGUUAUCUCCCUCCGUGCAAAACCUGAAGUACCAGGGCAGUGUGAGGAGAGACACUGAUAUUAGAGGCACUGAACAAGUGAAAUAAAGGACACGAUCAAUGUAAUGAGGUAGAAAUGGAGAGAAGAACUGUCUGAUGGGCACUGAGGAAGGAAAAUCAAAGAACUAUAGAAUAAUGAAGUGUGUGGCCAGCUGUGCCAUGCCUAAGCUGCUGGGAAGGAUUGAAAGGAAGUGGAGAAUGUAUUUGGUCGGUAAAGCUUAUCAUGGUUGCAUUUUGAGAGAAGAACCACAACCCAGGGACAGAAUAAGAUAAUUACUUCACAACCAACUGACCCACCAAGCUCCGGGAGUGUGGCUAGGUGCUCCACGAAACUGUCCCUUUCCACCAGGUGGCUGACCGGGCUGAGUGUGUGGGUGAAGUAAGCAUUAUAAUGAUAUAAAAUGCCCUACUGAAGAAAAUAAAGAGUGGAUGAGGAAAUAUAGAGGUCUGAGGAAACUAUGAGUAUAUGUGUUUGUGUGUGUGUGUGUGUGUGUGUCUGUGUGUGUGUGUGUGUGUGUGUGUGUGUGUGUGUGUGUGUGUGUGUGUGUGUGUGUGUGUGUCUGGGCCGCCCUGUGUGGGAUUGCUGGCCAGGUGUACAAAUAUAACAAGGGAAGGUGCUAAACUGAACACAUUAAUUAACCAUUUCAUUGCUACCUGGUACAUCUUUUCUUCAUUACCAUGCACACAGACACCUUUCCUUGUCCUACAGUCACCCCCAAGCACUGUACUGGCUAGACAUUGCAAAAUCCACUUUUUUUUUUCUGUAUCUCCUGUAAAUAUAAACAUUACACACACACACAUACACACACACACACAUUGCUCUUACUAGUGUGAAUCAUUGCAUAACAUAAUAAAAGGACAGACAGACAGACAGACAGACAGACACACAGACACCAUGACAAGUAUAACAGAAACACCAUCAAAUUGUCAUACAUAUAUUUACUCUUUUUAUGAACUUUGUAUAUAUAUAUUUAUCAUAAUCUUACAGUAAAUACAUUGUUACACUGUUUUUUGCUCAGUCAUGCAAUGCAGCUGCCCUCCACACACUGCAGUGGCUGAUGCAUGGAUGUACAGGGGGUGGCUGGCGUGGGGGGGGGAGGGUAGAUGUCACACACGCAGACAGGCACACACACACAUACACACGUACAUAUAGUAGCGAUAGGAAUAACAGGCACUGAAUCGGGGGCUGAGAGAGAGAGAGAGAGAGAGAGAGAGAGAGAGAGAGAGAGAGAGAGAGAGAGAGAGAGAGAGAGAGAGAGAGAGAGAGAGAGAGAGAGAGAGAGAGAAAGAGAGAGAGAGAGAGAGAU